UACUUCCAAAGGGGAACCAGGGAGUUCGGACCCAUUGAGGAAGAUCUCCCAGCUCACAGUAGGUUCUUGAGGGAUGUAUGAGAACACCAUGGUGGCCAGAGAGAGCUUGUUUUCCACAAAUGAAAUUACGAGGAGAGUCUGGAUCUGGGAGUGUCACUCAAAGUCUGGAUGGCAUUCCAUAAAACAACAUCCCUUAGUAAGCUGUCUUUCCAGUUGAAAAGCUGGGAAAAAUUCGACCAGCAGACUGACACUGGAUUCUUGUUUUCUCAGUGCUCCAAAACGGAAGAAUUUCCUAUCCCUGCCCCACAAUAAAGAUUUUGAUCCCUGG